AACGAACGCUGGCGGCAGGCCUAACACAUGCAAGUCGAGCGCGCCCUUCGGGGUGAGCGGCGGACGGGUUAGUAACGCGUGGGAAUAUACCCUUUGGUACGGAAUAGCCUCUGGAAACGGAGAGUAAUACCGUAUGAGCCCUUCGGGGGAAAGAUUUAUCGCCAAAGGAUUAGCCCGCGUUAGAUUAGGUAGUUGGUGGGGUAAUGGCCUACCAAGCCUACGAUCUAUAGCUGGUUUUAGAGGAUGAUCAGCAACACUGGGACUGAGACACGGCCCAGACUCCUACGGGAGGCAGCAGUGGGGAAUCUUGGACAAUGGGGCAACCCUGAUCCAGCCAUGCCGCGUGAACGAUGAAGGCCUUAGGGUUGUAAAGUUCUUUCAACGGUGAAGAUAAUGACGGUAGCCGUAGAAGAACCCCGG
rnacentral:rRNA from 1 species